rnacentral:rRNA from 1 species
UACGUAGGCUGCAAGCGUUAUCCGGAAUUACUGGGCGUAAAGCGUGCGCAGGCGGUUUGUUAAGUCCGUUGUGAAAGCCCCGAGCUCAACUUGGGAAUUGCAGUGGAUACUGGCAGGCUGGAGUACGGUAGAGGAAGGUGGAAUUCCCGGUGUAGCAGUGAAAUGCGUAGAUAUCGGGAGGAACACCAGUGGCGAAGGCGGCCUUCUGGACCAGUACUGACGCUCAUGCACGAAAGCGUGGGGAGCAAACAGG